rnacentral:rRNA from 1 species
AAUGAACGCUGGCGGCAGGCCUAGCACAUGCAAGUCGAGCGGAUGACGGGAGCUUGCUCCUUGAUUCAGCGGCGGACGGGUGAGUAAUGCCUAGGAAUCUGCCUGGUAGUGGGGGACAACGUUUCGAAAGGAACGCUAAUACCGCAUACGUCCUACGGGAGAAAGCAGGGGACCUUCGGGCCUUGCGCUAUCAGAUGAGCCUAGGUCGGAUUAGCUAGUUGGUGGGGUAAUGGCUCACCAAGGCGACGAUCGGUAACUGGUCUGAGAGGAUGAUCAGUCACACUGGAACUGAGACACGGUCCAGACUCCUACGGGAGGCAGCAGUGGGGAAUAUUGGACAAUGGGCGAAAGCCUGAUCCAGCCAUGCCGCGUGUGUGAAGAAGGUCUUCGGAUUGUAAAGCACUUUAAGUUGGGAGGAAGGGCAGUAAGUUAAUACCUUGCUGUUUUGACGUUACCGACAGAAUAAGCACCGGCUAACUCUGUGCCAGCAGCCGCGGUAACAC